rnacentral:rRNA from 1 species
AUGGUGACCAGGAUGCAGGUGAGCUCCGACAAGGGCCAACACUCCAAGGCCAUGAAGAUCACGGCAGCAAUCGAUGGAGUGGAGUCGGUGACGCUGGCGGGGGAGGGGCGGAACCUGCUCCGGGUGGUCGGCAAAGGCGUCGACUCCAACCACCUCACCAGCAAGCUGCGGCGGAAGGUGGGCCACACCGACAUCGUCGAGCUGCGCACCCUGCAGGCGGGCCGGGGCUACCACUCUGCGCAGGCCGCGGGCGUGGGCGUGCGUGGGGACGCCACCGCCUACGGCGCGUUCAACAGUUACACUAUGACCGGUUACUCACCGGUGGCCGCUGAUCAGUACCACCGCCAGCAGCAGUCAUCAUACGAGUACAAGUACUACCCGCCCGCGCCGUACCCUACCACCGUCAUCCACCACGAGUACACGGUCGGCGAUCCAACCGGAUGCUCCAUCAUGUAG